UACGUAGGGUGCGAGCGUUAAUCGGAAUUACUGGGCGUAAAGCGUGCGCAGGCGGUUUUGUAAGCCAGAUGUGAAAGCCCCGGGCUUAACCUGGGAAUGGCAUUUGGGACUGCAAGGCUUGAGUGCGGCAGAGGAGACUGGAAUUCCUGGUGUAGCAGUGAAAUGCGUAGAUAUCAGGAGGAAUACCGAUGGCGAAGGCAGGUCUCUGGGCUGACACUGACGUCAU
rnacentral:rRNA from 1 species